UACGGGGGGGGCAAGCGUUGUUCGGAAUUACUGGGCGUAAAGGGCUCGUAGGCGGCCAACUAAGUCAGACGUGAAAUCCCUCGGCUUAACCGGGGAACUGCGUCUGAUACUGGAUGGCUUGAGUUUGGGAGAGGGAUGCGGAAUUCCAGGUGUAGCGGUGAAAUGCGUAGAUAUCUGGAGGAACACCGGUCGCGAAGGCGGCAUCCUGGACCAACACUGACGCUGAGUGAGCGAAAGCCAGGGGAGCAAACGGG
rnacentral:rRNA from 1 species